GCGCCCGUAGCUCAGCAGGAUAGAGCGGUGGAUUCCUAAUCCACGUCUGCCGCAGGUUCGAAUCCUGCCGGGCGCACCA
rnacentral:tRNA from 1 species